GCAGCAUUAUCCAAUUUUCCCUCUCUGGGCGCACUCCUUCCUCUUUGGGCGUCUACUGGUUUUUUUCCCAGACGAAAUUAUUCGAAAAGCUGAGACUUUGGUGUGGUUGAAGCCACGAUCGCUGUUCAUAAGCUCUUGAUUGCGUGAUUCGUCGAAUACCCAGAGUUUUCCGAGGAACUUUUUGGUAAUUCAGGGAGGUAAAAUGACCUCUGUACAAGGGUCAGUUGUUUGCCCCGUAGUUCAUGCUAAAAGAACAGGUGAAUACUCUGUUCCGGUCAAUUCACCUUCAGUGAAGACUACUAAAGUUCUUAGAAGUGGGUUUAGAGGGUCUGCUGUGAUCUGCAGUAGACGAGUUCAAGUGGCUAGACUAUCGCGAUCAGAAAUAAGCACAGUGAUCAAAUGCAGUUUCAGUUCGUCUUCCAAUGGCAAUGGCAACAGAGCUGAGAACUUUAGUGAGAAUGAUGCUGACUAUGUAAAUUCUAUCGUUCUUGAAGCUGUUCAAGUACAGAGUAUCCGAAAUGGUUUCCUGAUCAAAAUGAGAGAUGGUAGGCAUAUGAGAUGUGUCCAUAACAACCCUCAAGGUGACCAUCUUCCCGAGUAUGAACCACAUCCAGCAAUAGUAUUGAGAAUGGAAGAUGGAACGGGCCUUCUUCUUCCUAUCAUCGUUUUGGAAAUGCCAAUUGUAACGCUCAUGGCUGCAGUACGAAAUGUCCAAAUUGCCCGACCUACAAUGUACCAAGUGUUUAAGGACAUGAUUGAGAAGAUGGGCUAUGAAGUAAAACUUGUCCGUAUUACCAAGCGAGUACAUGAGGCAUAUUUUGCUAAAUUAUUCCUCUCCAAGCAGCUGGGUAAUGAAGGUGAGAGUUUCACCGUGGACCUUCGACCUUCCGAUGCCAUCAAUAUUGCUGUCAUAUGCAACGUGCCAAUUCAAGUAAACAAGUAUGUGGCGUAUAGUGAUGGCAUGAGGAUAAUUGAAUCGGCCAAUUCGUUGGUUCAGGGUUCAACUUCACAUGGAUCAUUGCCCACCGAGCUGGACAGGCCUACUGGCCGGCCAUGCUUCGAGACAGAGGAGUUUACUCUCUUGCGCAACAUGCUUAUCGCUGCAGCAGAGGGACGCUACAUAGAUGCAGCUAUGUGGAGGGACAAACUCGCUCAACACCGCGCCAAGAGGAACUGGACAUAGCAGAUACGAGUUGCUGGAUGAUGACUUGAUGAGUACAUAACUGAAACUUGUCGGAGGUUUAUGUGGUUGGCUUCACCGGUCUCCAAUCACAUCUCUUCCUCAAUAUGUAAAGCCUGUGAAUAAAUGUGUACAGAUAGACUGUAAUAUAAGGCUGUGCUACUUCAAAGAAAACAUCAACUGCUUGUGUAAUGUGUUGCAUUCUGUACUGGUUUUUACAUCUCGUAAAAUAUGACUAAUGUAACUGAGUU